GAUGAACGCUGGCGGCGUGCCUAAUACAUGCAAGUCGAGCGAACGGACGAGAAGCUUGCUUCUCUGAUGUUAGCGGCGGACGGGUGAGUAACACGUGGAUAACCUACCUAUAAGACUGGGAUAACUUCGGGAAACCGGAGCUAAUACCGGAUGAUAUUUUGAACCGCAUGGUUCAAAAGUGAAAGACGGUCUUGCUGUCACUUAUAGAUGGAUCCGCGCUGCAUUAGCUAGUUGGUAAGGUAACGGCUUACCAAGGUAACGAUGCAUAGCCGACCUGAGAGGGUGAUCGGCCACACUGGAACUGAGACACGGUCCAGACUCCUACGGGAGGCAGCAGUAGGGAAUCUUCCCAAUGGGCGAAAGCCUGACGGAGCAACGCCGCGUGAGUGAUGAAGGUCUUCGGAUCGUAAAACUCUGUUAUUAGGGAAGAACAUAUGUGUAAGUAACUGUGCACAUCUUGACGGUACCUAAUCAGAAAGCCACGGCUAACUACGUG
rnacentral:rRNA from 1 species